UGUGAACUCGAAGAGUAGGGCGGGACACGUGGUAUCCUGUCUGAAUAUGGGGGGACCAUCCUCCAAGGCUAAAUACUCCUGACUGACCGAUAGUGAACCAGUACCGUGAGGGAAAGGCGAAAAGAACCCCGGCGAGGGGAGUGAAAAAGAACCUGAAACCGUGUACGUACAAGCAGUAGGAGCCUCUUUAUGGGGUGACUGCGUACCUUUUGUAUAAUGGGUCAGCGACUUAUAUUCUGUAGCAAGGUUAACCGUAUAGGGGAGCCGCAGGGAAACCGAGUCUUAACUGGGCGUUAAGUUGCAGGGUAUAGACCCGAAACCCGGUGAUCUAGCCAUGGGCAGGUUGAAGGUUGGGUAACACUAACUGGAGGACCGAACCGACUAAUGUUGAAAAAUUAGCGGAUGACUUGUGGCUGGGGGUGAAAGGCCAAUCAAACCGGGAGAUAGCUGGUUCUCCCCGAAAGCUAUUUAGGUAGCGCCUCGUGAACUCAUCUUCGGGGGUAGAGCACUGUUUCGGCUAGGGGGUCAUCCCGACUUACCAACCCGAUGCAAACUACGAAUACCGAAGAAUGUUAUCACGGGAGACACACGGCGGGUGCUAACGUCCGUCGUGAAGAGGGAAACAACCCAGACCGCCAGCUAAGGUCCCAAAGUCAUGGUUAAGUGGGAAACGAUGUGGGAAGGCCCAGACAGCCAGGAUGUUGGCUUAGAAGCAGCCAUCAUUUAAAGAAAGCGUAAUAGCUCACUGGUCGAGUCGGCCUGCGCGGAAGAUGUAACGGGGCUAAACCAUGCACCGAAGCUGCGGCAGCGACACUAUGUGUUGUUGGGUAGGGGAGCGUUCUGUAAGCCGUUGAAGGUGGCCUGUGAGGGUUGCUGGAGGUAUCAGAAGUGCGAAUGCUGACAUAAGUAACGAUAAUGCGGGUGAAAAACCCGCACGCCGGAAGACCAAGGGUUCCUGUCCAACGUUAAUCGGGGCAGGGUGAGUCGACCCCUAAGGCGAGGCCGAAAGGCGUAGUCGAUGGGAAACAGGUUAAUAUUCCUGUACUCGGUGUUACUGCGAAGGGGGGACGGAGAAGGCUAUGUUGGCCGGGCGACGGUUGUCCCGGUUUAAGCAUGUAGGCGGAUGUUCCAGGUAAAUCCGGAACGUUAUCAACGCUGAGGUGUGAUGACGAGGCACUACGGUGCUGAAGUGACAAAUGCCCUGCUUCCAGGAAAAGCCUCUAAGCAUCAGGUAACAUCAAAUCGUACCCCAAACCGACACAGGUGGUCAGGUAGAGAAUACCAAGGCGCUUGAGAGAACUCGGGUGAAGGAACUAGGCAAAAUGGUGCCGUAACUUCGGGAGAAGGCACGCUGAUAUGUAGGUGAAGUGGUUUACCCAUGGAGCUGAAAUCAGUCGAAGAUACCAGCUGGCUGCAACUGUUUAUUAAAAACACAGCACUGUGCAAACACGAAAGUGGACGUAUACGGUGUGACGCCUGCCCGGUGCCGGAAGGUUAAUUGAUGGGGUUAUCCGUAAGGAGAAGCUCUUGAUCGAAGCCCCGGUAAACGGCGGCCGUAACUAUAACGGUCCUAAGGUAGCGAAAUUCCUUGUCGGGUAAGUUCCGACCUGCACGAAUGGCGUAAUGAUGGCCAGGCUGUCUCCACCCGAGACUCAGUGAAAUUGAACUCGCUGUGAAGAUGCAGUGUACCCGCGGCAAGACGGAAAGACCCCGUGAACCUUUACUAUAGCUUGACACUGAACACUGGUCCUUGAUGUGUAGGAUAGGUGGGAGGCUUUGAAG
rnacentral:rRNA from 1 species